rnacentral:rRNA from 1 species
AUUGAACGCUGGCGGCAUGCCUUACACAUGCAAGUCGAACGGCAGCAUAGGAGCUUGCUCCUGAUGGCGAGUGGCGAACGGGUGAGUAAUAUACCGGGACGUGCCCUAGAGUGGGGGGUAACUAGUCGAAAGACUAGCUAAUACCGCAUACGAUCUACGGAUGAAAGUGGGGGAUCGCAAGACCUCAUGCUCCUGGAGCGGCCGAUAUCUGAUUAGCUAGUUGGUGGGGUAAAAGCUCACCAAGGCGACGAUCAGUAGCUGGUCUGAGAGGACGACCAGCCACACUGGGACUGAGACACGGCCCAGACUCCUACGGGAGGCAGCAGUGGGGAAUUUUGGACAAUGGGGGCAACCCUGAUCCAGCAAUGCCGCGUGAGUGAAGAAGGCCUUCGGGUUGUAAAACUCUUUUGUCAGGGAAGAAACGGUUCUGGAUAAUACCUGGGACUAAUGACGGUACCUGAAGAAUAAACACCGGCUAACUACGUGCCAGCCGCCGCCGUAA